rnacentral:rRNA from 1 species
AACGUAGGUGGCGAGCGUUAUCCGGAAUUACUGGGCGUAAAGCGUGUGCAGGCGGGCUAGCAAGUGGUGUCUGAAAGCUCCCGGCUCAACCGGGAAGGGUUGUGCCAGACUGCUAGUCUUGAGUGCGAGAGAGGAGCGUGGAAUUCCGGGUGUAGUGGUGAAAUGCGUAGAGAUCCGGAGGAACCCCAGAGGCGAAGGCGGCGCUCUGGCUCGCAACUGACGCUCAGACACGACAGCAUGGGGAGCGAACGGG